UACGUAGGUGACCAGCGUUGUCCGGAUUUACUGGGCGUAAAGAGCGCGCAGGCGGUCGUUCAAGUCGAGUGUGAAAGCCCCCGGCUCAACUGGGGAGGGUCAUUCGAUACUGAUCGACUGGAAGGCAGGAGAGGGAAGCGGAAUUCCCGGUGUAGUGGUGAAAUGCGUAGAUAUCGGGAGGAACACCAGUGGCGAAGGCGGCUCACUGGCCCGGUACUGACGCUGAGGUGCGAAAGCGUGGGGAGCAAACAGG
rnacentral:rRNA from 1 species